rnacentral:rRNA from 1 species
UACGUAGGGACCAAGCGUUGUUCGGAUUUACUGGGCGUAAAGGGCGCGUAGGCGGCUUGACAAGUCACUUGUGAAAUCUCCGGGCUUAACUCGGAACGGCCAAGUGAAACUGUCAUGCUAGAGUGCAGAAGGGGCAAUCGGAAUUCUUGGUGUAGCGGUGAAAUGCGUAGAUAUCAAGAGGAACACCUGCGGCGAAGGCGGGUUGCUGGGCCGACACUGACGCUGAGGCGCGAAAGCUAGGGGAGCGAACGGG